AAGACUCUGCUUGACUAGCUGAGAGGAGGUGCAUGGCCGUCGUCAGUUCGUACUGUGAAGCAUCCUGUUAAGUCAGGCAACGAGCGAGACCCGUGCCCACUGUUGCCAGCAUGUCCUUCGGGACGAUGGGUACUCUGUGGGGACCGCCGAUGCUAAAUCGGAGGAAGGUGCGGGCUACGGUAGGUCAGUAUGCCCCGAAUCUCCCGGGCUACACGCGGGCUACAAUGACUGGGACAAUGGGCUCCUACCCCGAAAGGGGAUGGUAAUCUCAUAAACCCAGCCGUAGUUCGGAUCGAGGGCUGCAACCCGCCCUCGUGAAGCUGGAAUCCGUAGUAAUCGCGUUUCAACAUAGCGCGGUGAAUACGUCCCUGCUCCUUGCACACACCGCCCGUCAAACCACCCGAGUGAGGUAUGGGUGAGGGCAUGGACAUUGUGCUGUGUUCGAACCUAAAUUUUGCAAGGGGGGUUAAGUCGUAACAAGGUAGCCGUAGGGGAAUCUGCGGCUG
rnacentral:rRNA from 1 species